CAGCAGCAGCCGCGGGAAUACGUAGGGUGCAAGCGUUAAUCGGAAUUACUGGGCGUAAAGCGUGCGCAGGCGGUUAUAUAAGACAGAUGUGAAAUCCCCGGGCUCAACCUGGGAACUGCAUUUGUGACUGUAUAGCUAGAGUACGGCAGAGGGGGAUGGAAUUCCGCGUGUAGCAGUGAAAUGCGUAGAUAUGCGGAGGAACACCGAUGGCGAAGGCAAUCCCCUGGGCCUGUACUGACGCUCAUGCACGAAAGCGUGGGGAGCAAACAGGAUUAGAUACCCCGGUAGUCCCUGUCUCUUAUAC
rnacentral:rRNA from 1 species